CCUACGGGCGGCUGCAGUGGGGAAUAUUGCACAAUGGGCGCAAGCCUGAUGCAGCCAUGCCGCGUGUGUGAAGAAGGCCUUCGGGUUGUAAAGCACUUUCAGCGGGGAGGAAGGCGUUAAGGUUAAUAACCUUGUCGAUUGACGUUACCCGCAGAAGAAGCACCGGCUAACUCCGUGCCAGCAGCCGCGGUAAUACGGAGGGUGCAAGCGUUAAUCGGAAUUACUGGGCGUAAAGCGCACGCAGGCGGUCUGUCAAGUCGGAUGUGAAAUCCCCGGGCUCAACCUGGGAACUGCAUUCGAAACUGGCAGGGUAGAGUCUUGUAGAGGGGGGUAGAAUGCCAGGGGUAGCGGGGAAAGGCGUAGAGAUCUGGAGGAAUACCGGGGGCGAAGGCGGCCCCUGGACAAAGACUGACGCUCAGGUGCGAAAGCGUGGGGAGCAAACAGGAUUAGAUACCCGUGUAGUC
rnacentral:rRNA from 1 species